rnacentral:rRNA from 1 species
AUUUACGGCCAUACCACCCUAAACACGCUGGGUCUUGUCUGAUCUCAGGAGCUAAGCAGGGUCGGGCCUGGUGACUCCUUGGACAGGAGAAACAGAGAACA